rnacentral:rRNA from 1 species
AGAGUGUAAAGGCAAAAGAGAGCUUGAUUGCAAGACAUACAGGUCGAGCAAGGAUGAAAAUCGGACUUAGUGAUCCGGUGGUUCUGCGUGGAAGGGCCAUCGCUCAACGGAUAAAAGCUACCCUGGGGAUAACAGGCUUAUCUCCCCCAAGAGUCCACAUCGACGGGGAGGUUUGGCACCUCGAUGUCGGCUCAUCACAUCC